UCUUGCCAAAACGGUGACGCAGUGGUGUGUUACCUGCCGACAGCAUAAAGCGAGGCAAGGUCCAGCCGUUCCGCCCGGCAUACAAGCUUAUGGAGCAGCCCCCUUUGAAGAUCUCCAGGUGGACUUCACAGAGAUGUCAAAGUGUAGAGGUGAUCGAGUGUGGAUCAAGAACUGGAACGUAGCCUCUUUGUGUCCACUGUGGAAAGGACCCCAGACUGUCGUUCUGAGCACUCCCACCGCUGUGAAGGUAGAAGGAAUCCCAGCCUGGAUCCACCACAGCCAUGUAAAACCUGCAGCGCCUGAAACCUGGGAGGCAAGACCAAGCCCAGACAACCCCUGCAGAGUGACCCUGAAGAAGACGACAAGCCCUGCUCCAGUCACACCCGGAAGCUGACUGGUCCACGCACGGCCGAAGCCUGAGGAAGCUCAUCAUGAGAUUCAUUUUUCUUAAAUUUUGGACUUAUACAGUAAGGGCUUCAACUGAUCUUACUCAAACUGGGGACUGUUCCCAGUGUACUCAUCAGGUCACCGAAGUAGGACAGCAAAUUAAAACAAUCUUUCUGUUCUAUAGUUAUUAUGAAUGUAUGGAAACAAUAAAAGAAACUUGUUUGUAUAAUGCCACUCAGUACAAGGUAUGUAGCCCGAGAAAUGACCGACCUGAUGUGUGUUAUAACCCAUCUGAGCCCCCUGCACCACCGUUUUUGAAAUAAGAAUAAGAACUGGCCUUUUCCUAGGUGAUACAAGUAAAAUAAUAACUAGAACAGAAGAAAAAGAAAUCCCCAAGCAAAUAACUUUAAGAUUUGAUGCUUGUGCAGCCAUUAAUAGUAAAAAGCUAGAAAUAGGAUGUGGUUCUCUUAACUGAGAAAGGAGCUAAAGAGUAGAAAAUAAAUAUGUUUGUCAUGAGUCAGGGGUUUGUAAAAAUUGUGCCUAUUGGCCAUGUGUUAUUUCGGCUACUUAAAAAAAGAACAAAAAGGACCCGGUUUAUCUUCAGAAGGGGGAAGCCAACCCCUCCUGUGCUGCCGGUCACUGUAACCCACUAGAACUAAUAAUUACCAAUCCCCUAGGUCACCGUUGGAAAAAGGGAGAACGUGUAACCCUGGGGAUCAAUAGGACAGGGUUAAACCCUCAAGUUGCCAUUUUAAUUAGAGGGGAGGUCCACAAGUGCUCUCCCAAACCAGUAUUUCAAACCUUUUAUGAGGAGCUGAAUCUGCCAGCAGCAGAACUUCUGAAAAAGACAAAAAAUUUGUUUCUCCAAUUAGCAGAAAAUGUAAUUUUCUUACUUAAUGUUACUUCUUGUUAUGUACGUGGAGGAACCACUAUCGGAGACAGAUGGCCUUGGGAAGCCCGAGAGUUGGUGCCUACUGAUCCAGCUCCUGAUAUAAUUCCAGUUCAGAAGGCCGAAGCUAGCAACCUCUAGGUCCUAAAAACCCCAAUUAUUAGACAAUACUGUAGAGCUAGAGAAGGGAAAGACUUUAUCAUCCCUGUAGGAAAGCUUAAUUGUAUAGGACAGAGGUUGUAUAACAGCACAACAAAG
rnacentral:lncRNA from 1 species